rnacentral:rRNA from 1 species
AGAAUUUGAUCUUGGUCAGGAUGAACGCUGGCGGCGUGCUUAACACAUGCAAGUCGAACGGAGUUUUUAAGUGGAAGUUUUCGGAUGGAAGUUUAAAAACUUAGUGGCGGACGGGUGAGUAACGCGUGGGUAACCUGCCUCAUACAGGGGGAUAACAGUUAGAAAUGACUGCUAAGACCGCAUAAUAUAGCGAAACCGCAUGAUUUUUGCUAUCAAAUAUUUAUAGGUAUGAGAUGGGCCCGCGUCUGAUUAGCUAGUUGGUGGGGUAAAAGCCUACCAAGGCGACGAUCAGUAGCCGGCUUGAGAGAGUGACCGGCCACAUUGGGACUGAGACACGGCCCAAACUCCUACGGGAGGCAGCAGUUGGGAAUAUUGGACAAUGGGGGAAACCCUGAUCCAGCCGACGCCGCGUGAGUGAAGAAGUAUUUCGGUAUGUAAAGCUCUAUCAGCAGGGAAGAUAAUGACAGUACCUGACUAAGAAGCCCCGGCUAACUACGUGCCAGCCGCCGC